UUAUACUUAUCAAUAAUGUAUGUAUUAGUAAUUUUAAAAGAUAUGAUAAAGGAACUCGGCAAUAAGGUUACUCAACUGUUUAUCAAAAACAUAACUAUAUGAAGUUAUAUGUAGCUAUUUCUGCUCAAUGAUUAGUUAAAUAGCCGCAGUACCCUGACUGUGCAAAGGUAGCAUAAUCAAUUGGCCUCUAAUUAAGGUCUGGUAUGAAUGAACAUAUGGGUAACAACUGUCUUUAAUAUAGUUUUUUAAACUUAGUUAACAAGUGCAAAUACUUGUAACUCUAAACCAGACGAGAAGACCCUAGAAACUUGAUAAUAUUUUUGUUGGGGCGGCAGAAUUACAAUAUAACUAAUUUUAUAAACUUGAUGUUAUUACGACAGACAAAGUUACUCUAGGGAUAACAGCAUAAUUUACAUAGUUUGUGACCUCGAUGUUGGACUAGGUAUAUUAUCCCUUAGAUAGGGAUAAUAAAGCGCUCUGUUCGAGCAUAUCCACCUACAUGAUCUGAGUUCAGACCGGCGUGAGCCAGGUCAGUUUCUAUCUUUUAUUUUUUAUACACCUGUACGAAAGGACCGUGUAUAAUAUUUGAUAAUACC
rnacentral:rRNA from 1 species